rnacentral:lncRNA from 10 species
GAGAGCGCAUAGUGGUUAAAAGCACCGACUUGGGAGCCAGGCUGCCUGGCUUCAAUCCCUGCUCUGCCACCUACAAGCAGAUGGAGUACUCUCCCAAUCAGAUCAUGCAAGAAUAAUAGGAAGGGAGGUGUGGAACCAUCUUAAAAGAAAACGUCCUAAUAAGAAGAUAAGGUGACCGAAUAAGGGGAUUACUUGGCAGAGAUAUGAGAGAACUGGGUUCUUGACCCCACUUUGCCAUGAACUUGGGCUUGUUGAAGAAAGUGGCCAUAUUGGUCAGCCUAUUGGGCAGGGAACUGCAGGUGGUACCCAGGAUCUGAGGAUGGCUUCCAGAUGACAGCAAGCAAAACCCAGGGCUCCCAGUCCUCUAACCACAACAGAAUGGAUUCUGCAAACAAUUCGAGUGAGUUUGGAAGCAGAUUCUUCCCCAGGGGAAAAUUCACCACUGAGCUCAAGCAUUGUAAGACAUCCUGUUCUAAGGAGGGAUGAGGACAAAUCCUCUACUGUUCCCAACAGUUGCACAGGGCACUGCAUCUACAGUUACCCUGAGAACUACAAGCAGGAGGUGAAAGAGCUGAGUCAGCCAAGGUCAUCUGGGGACCUAUCCACUGUUCUAGGAGAGGAAGAGGGUCACAUGAAAAGCCCAUGAGGACCUUUUGAGGCCAUGAUUAUACCAGGGAACUGAGAGGCUCUGAGGGCCCCUCAGGGAGAUGGACCCAUAGAGGCUCCACCAUGCUAGCGAUGCUGGCCCUGUCUGUUGGAGUUAGAGAUGUUGGAACUGCAUCAAGCUGCCUCAGGCAUUCAGAUGAAUGCCUCUGUGAAGUUACAUCUCCAUAUUGGAAGCAGCAGAGUCAGAAUUGAAGAGUCCUGAGCGAAGCCUGGGAGAAUUGCCACUAUGAAGCCUGAAGUGCGACCUCCCUGAUGCCCCACCCCUGGAAGCAGCCCUGCCCCCAGAGUGCUGGGGUGAACCUGCCUCCCAGAGGUUCCUCCAAUGCUUUCAUUGCCACCAAAGUUUAUUGAGCACCAACUAUAUGCUAAGCCCAGAAGCUGGGGAUGGAGCAGGUGGUUGGAUAGUUGUGAUCUUUUUCCUCAGGGAAGAUGAUUGACUAAACUAAAAGUUAAAAAUGAAAUGUGCUGUGACAGGGGAAGUAAGGGUAUCUAUCCUCUUUUGGUAGGGUCGAAAUAGACCCAAGGAUUGGUGGGAUGCAGUAUUUGUUGAUGAAAAGUUGCUUUCAUCUGAUGGCUUUAGGAGUACAUACA